CCUACGUGAGGCAGCAGUGAGGAAUAUUGGUCAAUGGACGGAAGUCUGAACCAGCCAUGCCGCGUGCAGGAAGACGGCUCUAUGAGUUGUAAACUGCUUUUGUACAAGGGUAAACCUGAAUACGUGUAUUCAGCUGAAAGUACUGUACGAAUAAGGAUCGGCUAACUCCGUGCCAGCAGCCGCGGUAAUACGGAGGAUCCAAGCGUUAUCCGGAUUUAUUGGGUUUAAAGGGUGCGUAGGCGGAUUGAUAAGUUAGAGGUGAAAUGUCCGAGCUUAACUCGGGAACUGCCUCUAAUACUGUUGAUCUAGAGAGUAGAUGCGGUAGGCGGAAUGUAUGGUGUAGCGGUGAAAUGCUUAGAGAGCAUACAGAACACCGAUUGCGAAGGCGGCUUACCAAUCUAUAUCUGACGUUGAGGCACGAAAGCGUGGGGAGCAAACAGGAUUAGAUACCCGAGUAGUC
rnacentral:rRNA from 1 species